AUAUCAAUAAGCGGAGGAAAAGAAACCAACAGGGAUUACCCUCAGUAACGGCGAGUGAAGCGGUAAUCAGCUCAAAUUUGAAAUCUGGACCUUUCACGGGUUCGAGUUGUAAUUUGUAGAGGAUGUUUCGGCAUCAGGCUUACGGUUUAAGAUUUCUUGGAACAGAAUCGUCAUAGAGGGUGAGAGUCCCGUCUUGAACCGAUUAGCUUCGUCCAUGUGAAACUCCUUCGACGAGUCGAGUUGUUUGGGAAUGCAGCUCAAAAUGGGUGGUAAAUUUCAUCUAAAGCUAAAUAUUGGCCAGAGACCGAUAGCGCACAAGUAGAGUGAUCGAAAGAUGAAAAGCACUUUGAAAAGAGAGUUAAACAGUAU
rnacentral:rRNA from 1 species